rnacentral:rRNA from 1 species
UACGAAGGGGGCUAGCGUUGCUCGGAAUUACUGGGCGUAAAGCGCACGUAGGCGGCUUCUAAGUCGGGGGUGAAAUCCUGGAGCUCAACUCCAGAACUGCCUUCGAUACUGGAGAGCUCGAGUCCGGGAGAGGUGAGUGGAACUCCGAGUGUAGAGGUGAAAUUCGUAGAUAUUCGGAAGAACACCAGUGGCGAAGGCGGCUCACUGGUCCGGUACUGACGCUGAGGUGCGAAAGCGUGGGGAGCAAACAGG